rnacentral:rRNA from 1 species
CGAGUCAUCAGCUCGCGUUGACUACUCCCUGCCCUUUGUACACACCGCCCGUCGCUCCUACCGAUUGAAUGGUCCGGUGAAGUGUUCGGAUCGCGGCGACGGGGGCGGUUCGCCGCCCCCGACGUCGCGAGAAGUCCAUUGAACCUUAUCAUUUAGAGGAAGGAGAAGUCGUAACAAGGUUUCCGUAGGUGAACCUGCGGAAGGAUCAUUG